rnacentral:rRNA from 1 species
UACGUAGGGUGCAAGCGUUGUCCGGAAUUAUUGGGCGUAAAGAGCUCGUAGGCGGUCUGUCGCGUCGGCUGUGAAAACCUGGGGCUCAACCCCGGGCCUGCAGCCGAUACGGGCAGGCUAGAAUUCGGUAGGGGAGACUGGAAUUCCUGGUGUAGCGGUGAAAUGCGCAGAUAUCAGGAGGAACACCGGUGGCGAAGGCGGGUCUCUGGGCCGAUAUUGACGCUGAGGAACGAAAGCGUGGGGAGCAAACAGG